rnacentral:rRNA from 1 species
GACGAACGCUGGCGGCGUGCUUAACACAUGCAAGUCGAACGCUGAAGCUCAGCUUUUGUUGGGUGGAUGAGUGGCGAACGGGUGAGUAACACGUGAGUAACCUGCCUCCUUCUUUGGGAUAACGCCCGGAAACGGGUGCUAAUACUGGAUAUUCACUGGUCUUCGCAUGGGGGUUGGUGGAAAGGGUUUUUCUGGUGGGGGAUGGGCUCGCGGCCUAUCAGCUUGUUGGUGGGGUGAUGGCCUACCAAGGCUUUGACAGGUAGCCGGCCUGAGAGGGUGACCGGUCACAUUGGGACUGAGAUACGGCCCAGACUCCUACGGGAGGCAGCAGUGGGGAAUAUUGCACAAUGGGCGCAAGCCUGAUGCAGCGACGCCGCGUGAGGGAUGGAGGCCUUCGGGUUGUGAACCUCUUUCGCUCAUGGUCAAGCCGCAACAAUGGUUGUGGUGAGGGUAGUGGGUAAAGAAGCGCCGGCUAACUACGUG